GGCCCGUUGGUCAAGUGGUUAAGACACCGCCCUUUCACGGCGGUAACAUGGGUUCGAAUCCCGUACGGGUCAUCA
rnacentral:tRNA from 2 species